UACGAAGGGGGCUAGCGUUGUUCGGAAUCACUGGGCGUAAAGCGCACGUAGGCGGGUUCUUAAGUCGGUGGUGAAAUCCUGGAGCUCAACUCCAGAACUGCCUUCGAUACUGGGAAUCUUGAGUCCGGGAGAGGUGAGUGGAACUGCGAGUGUAGAGGUGAAAUUCGUAGAUAUUCGCAAGAACACCAGUGGCGAAGGCGGCUCACUGGCCCGGUACUGACGCUGAGGCACGAAAGCGUGGGGAGCAAACAGG
rnacentral:rRNA from 1 species